UGCCAGAACGCGGUGAUACCACCCGCACGUAUAGACGGACAAGAAUAGGCUUCGGCUUAGUGUCUUAGCAGGCGAUUCUUCCACGGCGCUCGAAGCGUGUCGUGGUAUUUCGCGUAUUGUAAUUUCAACACGAGCGGGGUCAAAUCCUUUGCAGACGACUUAGCUGUGCGAAACGGUCCUGUAAGCAGUAGAGUAGCCUUGUUGUUACGAUCUGCUGAGGGUAAGCCGUCCUUCGCCUCGAUUU
rnacentral:rRNA from 1 species